ncrna:unclassified sequences c4-2 RNA
UUGCACGCUAUGGUGUGGAAAGCGGAAACGCCCCAAUGCCUUGUUGUAAGGCAUAGGACACCUAAGGCGUGCCUUU